UACGGGGGGAGCAAGCGUUGUUCGGAUUCAUUGGGCGUAAAGGGUGCGUAGGCGGCGCGGUAAGUCGGGUGUGAAAUCUCGGGGCUUAACUCCGAAACUGCAUUCGAUACUGCCGUGCUUGAGGACUGGAGAGGAGACUGGAAUUCACGGUGUAGCAGUGAAAUGCGUAGAUAUCGUGAGGAAGACCAGUGGCGAAGGCGGGUCUCUGGACAGUUCCUGACGCUGAGGCGCGAAGGCCAGGGGAGCAAACGGG
rnacentral:rRNA from 1 species